CUGUAUUUGUCAAUGAGUGAAUGCUGUUAGAUGUAAAUAUAGGCUUGAAUUCCUAUAAUUAUUUAAAUAUUAUAAAGUUUUAUUUUGAUGGCUAACUAUGGAUGUGUAUGUGUAUAUAGAUUUGUUCAUGUCUGUUGGUACAAAUGUAUUUACAUUUUGAUAUCUUAUAUAUGUGUAUGUCAAAGUUUUAAACCAUUGAUGUCAUUUAAAUGCUAAUGAUCUCUAUCAAAGUCUUUUUAUAGGUUUGGUGCUUCACAGUUUCUCAUACAGUACAUUACAAUUUACACCAGACACAUCAUUUUACAUCAAAGUAGUUAUAAGCAAGGUAUAUUUAGUAGUUAUAAGCAAGGUAUAUUUAGUAGUUAUAAGCAAGGUAUGUUUUACUGGAAAACAUUUUUCUGUAGAUCAACAAUUGGCUAGCCUAUGUAUAGUUUCAAAAUUUUACCCAACCCAUUACUUCUCUACUUAAUAAUGCAGGGUAUUUGUCAAAUAACAUAGAGUAAAUUAUUCCUGCACAAAAAAGAGAAACAGUCUUCUAUUUGUCCAUAAGAUUAUUUUGCUGUAUUUGUUUCUUUUAUCUAGAUUAAAAACGUAUCUUCAGAAUAAACAGCAGUUAUAGGUGCAUAUAUACUGUUAAUAGUGCUAGCACACCCAUAAGUAAAAUGAAUUAUAGGUGCAUAUAUACUGUUAACAGUGCUAGCACACCCAUAAGUUAAAAGAAUUACAGGUGCAUAUAUACUGUUAACAGUGCUAGCACACCCAUAAGGUAAAAGAAUUAUAGGUGCAUAUAUACUGUUAACAGUUCUAUCACACCCAUAAGUAAAAAGAAUUAUAGGUGCAUAUAUACUGUUAACAGUGCUAGCACACCCAUACGUUAAAAGAAUUAUAGGUGCAUAUAUACUGUUAACAGUGCUAGCACACCCAUACGUUAAAAGAAUUAUAGGUGCAUACCCAUAUACACCCAUCAGCUUAAACUUCAAUUUAAUAAAAAAAUAUUUAUUGUGGCUCAGGAUUUUAUUACUAUUAAUCUUUUUGGUUUGCAUAACUCAGUUUGCUGUAAUUAUCAUAAAAUAAAAUAAGUUUAAAGACAAGGAAAUGUCAUCACAAAUGCCAUAUAGUCAAAACUGCGCAAUGUAUUAGGUACACAUGUACCAGUUGAAAUAUUAAUUGUUAGAACAAGGGAAAUGUAAGAUACCAAGGGGAGAAUUAAAAGCUAAAAUGAGGAAGAGAGACCUGCUACAAAAUCAUAACAAAAAAUUAAAAAUUACGAAAAGACAGCUGUCUACAAAAUACUACAUCAAAAUUGGUGAAUGAGCAAAACAAGCUCCACCAUAAACCUGGGGUGAUAUAAGGUGCUAAGGAAACAUGUACAGCUCUUCAUGUGGAAUUUUGUACCUGUCAUGGGUUUGAUAUUUACUCUGUAGUAGUAAAAAAAAAUAGAAGGUAAAUAUAAUACAAAUAUUUUUGUUACCUCAAC
rnacentral:lncRNA from 1 species